rnacentral:rRNA from 1 species
GACGUAGGGCGCGAGCGUUGUCCGGAUUUAUUGGGCGUAAAGAGCUCGUAGGCGGCUUGUCGCGUCGUUCGUGAAAACCCACAGCUCAACUGUGGGCUUGCGGUCGAUACGGGCAGGCUGGAGUUCGGUAGGGGAGACUGGAAUUCCUGGUGUAGCGGUGAAAUGCGCAGAUAUCAGGAGGAACACCGGUGGCGAAGGCGGGUCUCUGGGCCGAUACUGACGCUGAGGCGCGAAAGCCAGGGGAGCAAACGGG